rnacentral:tRNA from 1 species
GGGCCAGUAGCUCAGUCGGUAAGAGCACCACCCUUAUAAGGUGGGGGUCGGUGGUUCGAGUCCACCCUGGCCUA